AACGCACAUUGCGCCCGCCAGCAUUCUGGCGGGCAUGCCUGUCCGAGCGUCAUUUCAACCCUCGCGCCCCCCCGGGGGCCGCGGUGUUGGGGACCGGCACACGGCCGCAACCCCUCGCGGGGCCGGCCCGCCGCCCCCCAAAUGCAGUGGCGGUCUCGCUGCGGCGUCCCUUGCGUAGUACCACACCUCGCACCGGACCCCGGCGCGGCCACGCCGUGAAACCCCCGACUCUCUGAGUUUGACCUCGGAUCAGGUAGGAAUACCCGCUGAACUUAA
rnacentral:misc_RNA from 1 species